UACGUAGGGGGCAAGCGUUGUCCGGAUUUACUGGGCGUAAAGAGCGCGUAGGCGGAAGCUUAAGUGUGGCCUGAAAGCCCCCGGCUCAACCGGGGAAGGUGGCUGCAAACUGGGCUUCUUGAGGGGGAUAGAGGAAAGUGGAAUUCCGGGUGUAGCGGUGAAAUGCGUAGAGAUCCGGAGGAACACCAGUGGCGAAGGCGGCUUUCUGGGUCCGCCCUGACGCUGAGGCGACGAAGCGUGGGGAGCGAACGGG
rnacentral:rRNA from 1 species